GAUAAAAUAAAAUCCUAGACAAAAAAAUAACAAUGAGAUCUCUUUCUCUUCUAAAAUGAAGAACGUUGUUUCCCCUGCUUCUUCUUCUUUCUUUACCUACAAAAACUUUAACCUGACUCUUACACUUAGAAAUUCUCACCUAUCUCGCUCAUUGAUAUAGAUGCACACAUAAGUACUCCCUCUCAUCCCCUCACGGAGAUGGGAAACAGUUUUCUGAUUUAAACAUUUGGACCCAGAUCUGAAAAAUUCGAAAAAAAAGAAGACCAAAGGAUCCCAUCCAUUGUUCAGAGUUGCUUUUUUACUUUGCUGGAUUUUUAAAGCUGUUGGACGUGUGGGAUUGUUGCUGCUUUGUUGCAAUUUCGCUGAGAUCCGUGGCUGGUUUCCUUACUUCUUAUGUUAGCUUUUAUUCGGAAGUUGUCGUAUUGUUCUUUUGGGUCUGGUGUGAGAAACCUUUUGGUAUAUCUCUAUUGAGGUUUUUACCAUGAGGCACCAGGUUCGAGACGACAUAAACAAUGAGUCUCAAUCCAGAAAAAGAAAAAAAAAGAAG